rnacentral:tRNA from 1 species
UGAUAAAAGAAAUAUUUUGAUAAAAUAUACAUGUAUAAAAUUCUUAUACUAUUACUU